CCUACGGGUGGCAGCAGUCGAGAAUCAUUCACAAUGGGGGAAACCCUGAUGGUGCGACGCCGCGUGGGGGAAUGAAGGUCUUCGGAUUGUAAACCCCUGUCAUGUGGGAGCAAAUUAAAAAGAUAGUACCACAAGAGGAAGAGACGGCUAACUCUGUGCCAGCAGCCGCGGUAAUACAGAGGUCUCAAGCGUCGUUCGGAAUCACUGGGCGUAAAGGGUGCGUAGGCUGUUUCGUAAGUCGUGUGUGAAAGGCGCGGGCUCAACCCGCGGACGGCACAUGAUACUGCGAGACUAGAGUAAUGGAGGGGGAACCGGAAUUCGCGGUGUAGCAGUGAAAUGCGUAGAUAUCGAGAGGAACACUCGUGGCGAAGGCGGGUUCCUGGACAUUAACUGACGCUGAGGCACGAAGGCCAGGGGAGCGAAAGGGAUUAGAUACCCUUGUAGUC
rnacentral:rRNA from 1 species